rnacentral:rRNA from 1 species
UGGGGAAUAUUGGACAAUGGGCGCAAGCCUGAUCCAGCCAUGCCGCGUGAGUGAUGAAGGCCCUAGGGUUGUAAAGCUCUUUCACCGGUGAAGAUAAUGACGGUAACCGGAGAAGAAGCCCCGGCUAACUUCGUGCCACCAGCCGCGGUAAUACGAAGGGGGCUAGCGUUGUUCGGAUUUACUGGGCGUAAAGCGCACGUAGGCGGACUUUUAAGUCAGGGGUGAAAUCCCGGGGCUCAACCCCGGAACUGCCUUUGAUACUGGAAGUCUUGAGUAUGGUAGAGGUGAGUGGAAUUCCGAGUGUAGAGGUGAAAUUCGUAGAUAUUCGGAGGAACACCAGUGGCGAAGGCGGCUCACUGGACCAUUACUGACGCUGAUGUGCGAAAGCGUGGGGAUCAAACAGG